rnacentral:rRNA from 1 species
UACAGAGGUCCCGAGCGUUGUUCGGAUUCACUGGGCGUAAAGGGUGCGUAGGCGGUCUGACAAGUCUGAUGUGAAAUCUAUGGGCUCAACCCAUAGUCUGCAUCGGAAACUGUCGGGCUUGAGUAUGGGAGAGGUGAGUGGAAUUUCCGGUGUAGCGGUGAAAUGCGUAGAUAUCGGAAGGAACACCUGUGGCGAAAGCGGCUCACUGGACCAUUACUGACGCUGAGGCACGAAAGCUAGGGGAGCAAACAGG